rnacentral:rRNA from 1 species
AGAGUUUGAUCCUGGCUCAGGAUGAACGCUAGCGGCAGGCCUAACACAUGCAAGUCGAGGGGCAGCACGGUGUAGCAAUACACUGGUGGCGACCGGCGCACGGGUGCGUAACGCGUAUGCAACCUACCCAUAACAGGGGGAUAACACUGAGAAAUUGGUACUAAUACCCCAUAACAUCAGGACCGGCAUCGGUUCUGGUUGAAAACUCCGGUGGUUAUGGAUGGGCAUGCGUUGUAUUAGCUGGUUGGUGAGGUAACGGCUCACCAAGGCAACGAUACAUAGGGGGACUGAGAGGUUAACCCCCCACAUUGGUACUGAGACACGGACCAAACUCCUACGGGAGGCAGCAGUGAGGAAUAUUGGUCAAUGGACGCAAGUCUGAACCAGCCAUGCCGCGUGCAGGAAGACGGCUCUAUGAGUUGUAAACUGCUUUUGUACGAGGGUAAACGCAGAUACGUGUAUCUGUCUGAAAGUAUCGUACGAAUAAGGAUCGGCUAACUCCGUGCCAGCAGCCGCGGUAAUACGGAGGAUCCAAGCGUUAUCCGGAUUUAUUGGGUUUAAAGGGUGCGUAGGCGGUUUGAUAAGUUAGAGGUGAAAUACCGGUGCUUAACACCGGAACUGCCUCUAAUACUGUUGAACUAGAGAGUAGUUGCGGUAGGCGGAAUGUAUGGUGUAGCGGUGAAAUGCUUAGAGAUCAUACAGAACACCGAUUGCGAAGGCAGCUUACCAAACUAUAUCUGACGUUGAGGCACGAAAGCGUGGGGAGCAAACAGGAUUAGAUACCCUGGUAGUCCACGCAGUAAACGAUGAUAACUCGUUGUCGGCGAUACACAGUCGGUGACUAAGCGAAAGCGAUAAGUUAUCCACCUGGGGAGUACGUUCGCAAGAAUGAAACUCAAAGGAAUUGACGGGGGCCCGCACAAGCGGAGGAACAUGUG